GCGGGUGUGGUGGAAUUGGUAGACACGCUAGGUUUAGGUCCUAGUGGCUGAAAGGCCUUAGGGGUUCGAGUCCCUUCACCCGCACCA
rnacentral:tRNA from 1 species